CUGAAGUGAAGAAAACUUUUCUUGCGGUCCUGGACCUGUCAAGCGGUCUUCUUGAUUAGAAAUUCAAUUACAUCAGCAUCAGAGGUACCAUACACUGAUACAGUGUAGGUCUCUGGAUUAUCUUCAUCUUGUUCACAGCCUUAAAUUACUAAGAGCUACCUUUCCCAAGACAUUGUUGGCUACGUGAUGCUAAUAAUCCAUCGAAAUCGUACAAGGAUGGGCCAUCUCGAGAUCAGUAUCGACUGUCAAAAGAAACCGUCACCAAUAUGCUGGAAGCCGAAAUGAAGAGGGACACACAGAGGAUUGAUCAUCUUCCUGUUUAUUUGCAGGUGUUGACAACUCCAUUUUUAUGCAGUGGGAUCAUUUUAAAAGAUGCAUGGUGAUGAGGCAGCAAUAUCGCAGUCAUCAAUGUGUCAGAAGCUAAAGCAAGAAGGAUUCUAGGCAAUACAUGAAGAUUCCUACAACAAGAGAAGAAGUUGAAGCAACUGGGAGACAGUUCUAUCUAACUAUUAGAUUUCCAGGAGUGAAAGGUGCAAUUGAUGGGACACAUAUCUACAUCAAGAGCCGGGGGGGGGGGGGGGGGGGGGGGAUUGGGCCAUAUGCUUCUUAUAUACCCCUUCCAACUUCAUGUGGAGAGGAAUGCCUAUAACAAUGGCAAAAGCAUUAA